GGGGGUAUAGUUCAAAGGUAGAGCAACGGUCUCCAAAACCGUUAAUGUGGGUUCGAGUCCUGCUACCCCUGCCA
rnacentral:tRNA from 1 species